AGAAUAAACGCUCAUUGGAUCACAUUGGAACCGAGUAUUUCCAGACUAACUCAUAAAGAAGAUAUUCAUUUGGAUCUAUGCUCUGACUAAUAUUCUCUGCGCUGCGCUAUGCCGCUGUGUGGAUAGCUUCUUGCUGUGGCUCCUCAAAAAAGGACAGGACAACUAGAGGAUGACUAUACCAGUGUCAAGGUGCGGGCCAGAAAGUGUGGACAAUCUCUAAUGAUGAAACAACAUCCAGUCAAAAUCCUCCCUAAUUCCUUUUGGACAGAAGAGAUGCCCACAUUUCCCCUCCCCCUUAUUUAUUUCUGAAGUUCAUUAACUUGCAGUAUGUUGAUCUUUGU